rnacentral:rRNA from 1 species
UACAGAGGGUGCGAGCGUUAAUCGGAAUCACUGGGCGUAAAGGGCGCGUAGGCGGCCUGAUAAGUAGGGGGUGAAAUCCUGUGGCUCAACUGCAGGGCUGCCUCCUAGACUGUCGGGCUUGAGCACGGUAGAGGCAGAUGGAAUUCCCGGUGUAGCGGUGGAAUGCGUAGAGAUCGGGAAGAACAUCGGUGGCGAAGGCGGUCUGCUGGGCCGUUGCUGACGCUGAGGCACGAAGGCCAGGGGAGCAAACGGG